rnacentral:misc_RNA from 1 species
AAGUCGUAACAAGGUUUCCGUAGGUGAACCUGCGGAAGGAUCAUUACCGAGUAAGGGUCUUCCAGGCCCGACCUCCAACCCUUUGUUUAACCAACCAUGUUGCUUUGGCGGGCCUGCCCUUUGGGGCCGCCGGGGGCUUUCCCGCCCCUGGCCCGUGCCCGCCGGUAGCCAUCUAAAAUUCUGAUAACUGCGCCGUCUGAGUAAGUAUAGAUAUAAAUCGUUAAAAGCUUUCAACAAUGGAUCUCUAGGUUCUG